rnacentral:lncRNA from 1 species
CGCCAGCACCAGACCGAUCUUCCUCCUCCUCGCUUAUCCUGCACAUUUAGAAAUACAUGCAGGGCUGAGUACAAAGUACUCAGUGUACAUAUGCCGAAAAACAAAAGAAAGCUUGCUCUUAGAGCUAUAAAUUGAACUUGCCACAUUAAGCAACACACAGGGGUUUUAGUUAGAGAAGAACCUGUGCAUGCAAUUUCGCAAAUCAUAACAUCAUAAUAAAGUAACUGCGCAGUUUAAACAUUCAUCAAUGCAUGUACCAUAUCUACUAUUCAUCAUCAAAGGUACUGAGAAGUAGGCCUCCCUCUCAAGUACCGUGACCGGCCGACCCGAUCGACGGCUCACAGUCACCUCUGUGCACAAAAUCCCGCUUGUGGCAGGACCGAAUUCGUCUCAACAGUAGAGGGUAACACACAAGUCAUUAUUAACAAAACUUGGCAAGUCAAUUAGUUUCAAGCAUAACAUUAACUCAAUUCAUAAUCAUAAAUAUCAUAUCAUUUAAGAAAGCUCGUAUAAUAGGUAUAUCAAAAUAAUGCCCACCUGACAAACUUAGCUUACUCUCGUAGUACUUGGGCGAUCUUACUUCCGUCCUCUGCUCGUAUCUUCAGAUGUCACAACAUCGGAGUGGUUCAUGAGAUAAGAUAAACCUCAGUUAAAAACUCAUUUACUACAAUCCAAUCUCAUCUCAAACUAUAACUUAUCACUCAUCUUCUAUUUACCCAAAUAAAUCUCAAUCCCUAGGUAUACUUAACUCCUAAGGAUUCACAAGUCCUACUCUCGACUUAACACUCAACUCGGAUUAAACUCAUAGCAAUUAAGCACAUAAACAAGCAUAAUCACAUAAGCAUAUAAUUCACACAUAGACAUGUCACAAACAAACAUCAUUCUGCACUGACUCGAUUUAAAGACUUCACCAGACUCGGUACAGAACUCCAAUGGAGUCGUGACCUAUACCAUUUGAAACCUCUUUGAGUCUAGUUUCAUUAAAAAAAAAGUAGGAUGAAAAAAUCCAAGUAGUUUAGGAGAUAUGACUGUUUUCCUACAGUCUACCAUAUUCGGCAGUUUUGAGCAAUUGAAAACUUUGAUUUUUGAAAAAUAUUAAAAGUUGCCAAAAAGGCAUUAAAUUUGGUGGGUACUUAGAUAAGACACUAAUGUCUUAAAAAUAAAAAUUUGGGCUCCAAAAAGUUAGGGAAAGAUACUGGAAAAGGUGACUCUAUUGGCUACUCACCGAACAUUUCGGCAGAAAGUAGCAGUUUUAGUUUUCGAUUUUAUAAAAAUAGUAAACGAAAUCCAAUUGACUUGAAAUUUUACCCGUAUGGUCAAGACUCUCAUAUAAUCUUACCAUAAAACUUUCAAUGUCUUUGGAUAUCAAGAACCCAACGAAAAAGUCGGUAGAAAAGGUCAUAAAAUGACUCCAAACUUGAACAUAAAAGCAAUUAUACCUAAACUCCGGACUUCUUCGAUGCAAAAUUCUCAAAAAAUUCAAAUUAAACUCACAUAAUACACAAUAACAUAAAUACAUGAUCAUAUAACAUAUGAAAAACAAAUCAAACAUCGACUUCCCCUUAUACUCGUCACAUUCGGCCAACAUAUAGGUUUUCAGGGGUUGGUCCGUUUCGUCUCAUAUCGCAUAUAUAAGCUCAACUUAUCAUCAAUUAGCCACAUAUAGACAUGCUUGGCUCAUAACUCAUCUUAUAUACAAGAUCUCAUGUAUGCACGCAAACUAAACUCGAGAAAUUUUCACAAAUCAACAUCAUGAUUAACUAAAUUAAUCAUGCUUUCUCCUUGCUAUUAGUCUAACUAACAUAUAAACAUCAUCAAUUCAAGUAUUUAUCUUGUUAAUCAAAAGUUCCCAAUUAUUAGUAAACUAACUUAACCAAUUUUAGGCUUUCUUGACAAUUAACCAAAUUGAUCCCUAAUUAUCAUUUCUAUCAUGCUUAAUAACAAUUAACCUUAGCCAAUUUAAUCAAUUAACACAUAGAUCACAAAGUCCCAAUUUGUAACAAACUAAACUUUUUGAAAAUUUGUAAACAUGCAUAAAUCAUUAAUCCAACCUUAGAUCUAUCAAAUUGACACACUUAAUAGCAUAAAUAAACAAUCGAUUAGUAAAUUAAACCAUAGAAUCAAUUUUACCCAAAUUACAUCAAACUAACUCAUAUCAAAAAUCACUAAUCAAUUUCAACCAUCAAUCCAAUCCAUCAAAUCUCAUAUAAACACUCUCAAUAGCAUAUAUCAUCCAUCAAUUCAUCAAUCAAGCCUCAAAUCCAAAACUUCCCAAAUUUACACAAACUAAACUAUAUUUCAAGUCUCAUAUCUCUUUUUAAAUCAAUUAUCUACAUAUGGAAAAAGACUAAUUAGGAACCCAAUAGUAUUUAAAUAACGUCAAUUUAAGAAAAGAAAAUGAAAAUUUUUUUGAAGGGUAAAAGACCCUAAUUUUCGAAAAUUACAAAGAAGGGAUAGGGGUGUUUUCUUGCUUCAAUCAUCAAUAUAUACACAAAUAUUCAACAUAAAUAAGUCUAGAUAUAAAAGGAUUCAUCACUUACUCAAGGAUUUGGAAAUAAUAAAAAUCUUUCUUUGACUUCAACCUUGAGAAACUCUUCAAAUCUUGGCUUGAUUAAAAGGAAAUGGAUGUUUAGAACUUGAUUUAGGAUAGAUCUAAGUAUGUGAAUUAUUCUUCGAGCUUGGUAAUGACCAUCAAUGGUGGUAGAGAGAGAAAAGAAAGUGAGAAGGAGAGAGGGAGAGAGAGAUCGAAAAUGAGGGGGAGAGAAGAGAGAGAGAGAUGUUUUGUUUAAAGCUUAAACUUGCUCACUAAGCUACUAAUCUAGCUUCUCCAACACUUCACACUUGCAACUUGCCCACUAAGUCAUCCAAUUAAUUAAUGCACAAUUAAAGCUCUACAUACGUGGNAAUUUAGAAAGAAAAUGAAAAUUUUUUGAAGGGUAAAAGACCCUAAUUUUCGAAAAUUACAAAGAAGGGAUAGGGGUGUUUUCUUGCUUCAAUCAUCAAUAUAUACACAAAUAUCCAACAUAAAUAAGUCUAGAUCUAAAAGGAUUCAUCACUUACUCAAGGAUUUGGAAAUAAUAAAAAUCUUUCUUUGACUUCAACCUUGAGAAACUCUUCAAAUCUUGGCUUGAUUAAAAGGAAAUGGAUGUUUAGAACUUGAUUUAGGAUAGAUCUAAGUAUGAAAAUGAUUCUUGGAGCUUGGUAAUGACCAUCAAUGGUGGUAGAGAGAGAAAAGAAAGUGAGAAGGAGAGAGG